rnacentral:tRNA from 1 species
CCUGAUAGCUCAGUUGGGAAAGAACCUGCCUACAACGCAGGAAACCCUGGUUCGAUUCCUGGGUCGGGA